UAAAGAAAAUUUUCAUGAACAUAGCAAAAGGCUCGAGCGCGGCAAAUGCGCUAGCGUCAUACACUCUCGCGUCAGAACCCGUCGAUGACGUGGCCUUAGUAGUUUCUCUGCCAAAUGUGACUCAGGUUCUUUAUAAAACGACGCUCGCUGACCAAACAUCACGCAUUUCACAUCAAGUCUCCGUCCACUCAGCGGUAGAUAAUAUCGAUAUCACAAGUGUCAAAUGUUUGUAAACGGUGUCCAAGUUAUCAGUUCACACUUGAAUAACAUUACAUUGAAUUCAAUCAGUAUACAAGGAAAUAUGCAUCAAAACAAUGAAAAGACAGAGGUGUGCCAGAAGGGCAGACUUCCACCAAUGUUGCAUCUCACACCUUCCGGUACAAAUCAAAAAAGGGUCGACAGCAGUCCUCACCAAAAGAUCGACAACCCUUGGCUACUGAAACCUCAACACGAAAUGCCGCCCACGCCUCCGCCCCAAGCCGACCAAAAACCCGCUAGUUUCUUUCAACAAAGAAUUGGAUAAAUCUUUAAUAGGACAGUUGAAAAUAAUCGAAAUAACAUUGUUAUGGCAAGUUGCCAUCUUGCCGAAAUACGGACUUUCGAAUAAGUCAUAUAAAAAUACUCCAUUACGUUAAUAAAGCAAACACGUAAAUAAUGAGUCGGGAUCAAGGAAUAAUUUUGCCAAACUGUGACACAAGGAAAGUGAGGCGGGGUGAUCAUGACAUGUACAUAUAUGUGCGUCAACAUUUCUGAGAGAUCGAGUGGAUAAACGUUGUGUAUUAUGUUUAAAGUUAGUAGGAAUUAGGAACCUUAUUGGAUGUUUUGUAUAAAUGCGUUUUUGACUGUAGUAGGGACAUCAAUAAUAUAAUGUAAAUAUAAAUAAGUAGCGUUAAGUUAUUGAUACUAAAGUAUAAUGAAACGUGUUAAGUUUAAGUACUUAUUUUUAAAUAUGCUAUGAAUGAAUAAAUAUAAUAAUUCAAUUUAAAAAGACGUAUUUAGUAAUCGUAUAUUUUAUGUGAACGCAAGUUAAAAUAACAAUUAGGUCAGACAGUAAAAAUUACUAUUUAUUGUUUCCAGUAUUAAAGUAAAAAAAAUAUAAAUGAAUCCAUCGAAAUUCGACCAGAGCUUUAUCACGUUUGUAAUGUGUAGGAACUGUGCCAAAAAUGUGAAUAUGAAAUUCUAUGUAGUUAGUGACAUGUUAUGUACAACAUAACUGCAAGUAUAUAGCUUUUAACAAUGAAUAGUAGUUAUAACGAGUCCAUAUUACCACUUUCGCGACUAACUCUACUCUCAUAAUCGCUAUAUACUCGUAGCUUAAUUCUGAUGUUGUUUAUUCCUUUCAAGUAGAUUAAUCCCUUUAAUAAGAAUCCUUAUAAACUCUGUCAAGUGAAUAUUAUUUUAUAUACUUCGUACAGUCCUUCUUAGGUUUCAUAUUACGAUAUUAACAUUCAAUAUUUUUUAACGUUGAAGAUUAAAAACAAAAUCAUUAAAACUUUUCCAUAUACCUAAUUAGUUACAAGAAUAUGCCAAGUGAUUCGGUUGUUAUUUAUAAUGAGAAAAAACAAGCAAUAAAAAUUACGUUACGAACAAACAAUACAGUACAAUAAUAAUGGUUGCUGGGAGUAAAGUUCAAUUGUCUAAUAAAAUGUGUACUUUAAUCUUUCUA